AGAAGUUGUACCCCUUAAAUCUUUUAUUUUCCUUCUAAGUCUGUGUGGGGAAACAGUAAAGAUCGAGGUGAAAUGUUAGUGCUACAUGAAAAACAAUUUCAGCACUAACAGAAGAAACUGCUCAAGGUGGGGAAGAUGCAAGAGUUCAUCAUUCACGCAGUGUAAUGACAUUGGGAAAGGCUGGCCAUUUUUUCACACCUUGCAUCUAAUCUCUUAGGUAAUCCCAAUGGUUCUUCCUUCACAAUAGAUCCAGAAAGUGAUGAAAUGAGAACUUCUUCAUCUCUUCUUUCUUCCACCACUAUAUGAACUACCCCCACCUAUGGCCUGAAUCAUUGAACCUGCCUCCCAACCGGUACUUCUUACUGUGGCUGCCUCCCCAGUCUAUUCUCAAAACAGCAUCCAGAGUAAUCUUCUUAAAAUGUAAGAAGAGUUGUGCCAUUCUUCUGUUGAAAAUCAUCCAAUGGCUUACAUCUCACUGAGUAAAUGCCAACAUCCUGAAGAUGCCAGGAUACCCUCCAGAGCCUACUUCUGUCUUUCUGACACUGUCACCUCUAAGUCUUCCAUUGCUCACUCUGGAUUCCUUGAUCUUCCUCCUAUUGAAUAGGCACCUCCUACUUGAGGGUCUUUGUAUUGACCACCUGCUCUGUUGGAGGCAGCUGCAGUCAACCAUGCUCUCCCCAGACACCCUUCUGAUUGUACUUGCACCUGCUUCAAGCCUUUGCCUAAGUCUUGCAGUCUUAAGAAAGCCCACCCAAGUACCUAUUGAAAACCACAAGCUACCCACCCACUUCCUUAUUCCUAGUAUUGCUGACCCUAUUGUAUUUUUUUGGUAGCACUGGUCGCCAUGAAAUAUUCCGUGUUUCUUAUUUCUUAUGGUUACAGUUUAUUGCCUAUCUUCCAUCUGUUUCCCCCUAGAGAAAUUCCAAGAACACAAGGAUUUAUGUCUAUUUGUUUUGUUUAUGUAUUCAUUUGUAGAAUGAAUAAAUGGAUAAUACUCCUAACCGGAUUUAUUUUU
rnacentral:lncRNA from 1 species